rnacentral:lncRNA from 10 species
CCUACCUAUCCCUCGCUCAGUGCCUUCCCGCCGCAUGGGGAAUUCUCAAUAGAUGUUGGGUCCCUUUCUCUUCUAGGGAUUGUUAUUGUGUAGUCACAAUUUAGGAUCCACAGCUAGGAAAUCAUAGACCCCCCACAAAUUUUAAGGCUUUGGAAAGGACGUUAGAGCUUCCAAAUCAUCAUGUUUUACAGAUAAGGUGAGACCCAAAAAAGGUUAGGCUUGCCCAAAGCCGUAGAGUCACUGGCUGAAACACAAGCUGAAAACUAGGACAGGGCACAUGAUGGAACCCCGCAUGGCCAUUAAAUACAGUAAGUGUGUUUAAUAAGUGUGUUGCUGGAAUGUGUGUGUGCAGGAAUGCUAUGUGAAAAGGCCAGACCCCAAACCGUUCCACAGGCUGAUUGCAACAAAGAAAAACCUCAGGGCUGGAGACAUAGAUGAGGAUUGGGAGAGAAUGGGUUACGUGGUAUUUUAACUGAAGAGCUGAUGUUUUAAAUGUCUGGGAUUUCCCCUGAAGUGAAGUGAAGUAAAGCAGGAAAUUCGAGUUUUGAAAUUCAGACCAAAGGAAAAACAAUACUAAAUCAGUAUUUGGGUACAUUUCUGGAUGAUGCAAUCAUACUCACAGAGCUUGUCCUGAAAUCAUUUCUUGAAAACCCUUGAGGCCAUGUAAACUCAGAGUCUAGGUACUUGGAAUCCCCCGCUUCCAGAAGGUUAACGAGAGCCACAGCCUGCGAUGUUUGAGGACAACUGUGAAUGGAAGGCAAGGCCCAUUUUUGAAUGCUAACUCAGGCCUCACUGCACUCCAGACUUCUGCCAGAGACCCUAUCACAUGCCCUAGCUAUGUGUUUACCUCCUGGCUGGACUUUGAAGUUUUAAGCUGUGUCCCCAACCCUGGCACAGCCCGGGGGUCCCUCCAGUUGUAGCAGUUUGCAGCUCUGUACCUCUUCUCUGGAAUGGUCAUGCCCAGCAGAGCAUCGGCUCUCUACCUUUGGACUAGCGGCUCCUGGAGAUCAAGGGUCUUGCCUUUAAC